rnacentral:lncRNA from 1 species
AGAAAACGUGCCUUUCAGUUUCUUUUCCGUUGCAGAUGUCCCAUUUCUCGUUCAUCUUCCCCAUCUUGUUUAAUUCCUACUCAUUUGAUAUAUUCACUAAAAAUAUAUGAGGAAAUUGAGUCGUUUAUAUGGGAAAAAGCAUAGGAAUUGUGACAGUAUUUCAUUAAAAAGAAGAAAGAGCAAUAAUGGAAGCAAAAGCAGAAGAUUUGUAGAAGUUUUAGUCGUUUUUGAUUUGUAAAAAUAGAAAACAAAGCAUCUACAAUCAGAAUACAAAUAUCUAGAGCUCAUCUACAAAAUAUUUACAAAGUGGGUAUAUUAAAUUUUAAUAUCCCAAUUCCAUUCGAUUGUAGUUAAC